CCUGCUGGCGGCGGGGAGCGAGCCGCUGAAGGCAGCGGCGGGCCCCGAGCCGGGGGGGCGCGGGCGGCGGCGGCCGGCGGAAAGCGGUAUCUGCUAACAGAAGAUGAUUUAAAGUUACAAGAAUUUCAGCGGGCAAAAUUGGCAAUUAGAAAUGAAGUUCAUGGCAGUAAAGAUCCAUAUUUUAAAAGUAUUAAAGAAAAAUUAAAGAAAAAUGGAAUGAUUCUCAAACAUGAAUUAAAAAUUUUACUGCAUUUAUGUCAGACUUCUUCUGAUGUGGAACUAGCCAGAAAAGUUAUUUACAGGUACUUUUACCAAAGAAGGUACCAUGAACAGAAUAGCAUUACAACUCCAUGUGAUUUUAAAUUUGGACCUCUGUUUAUGAGACUGUGUUAUGAGCUGGGCCUUGAAACACCUGCAGUAGAACUUAUCAAAGAUCAGAACUUGCGUGGUUUUUUCUCAGAGUGUACAUCAUUUCAUAUUCUGAUGACUAUGUUGUUUAAAAAGGGCCGCUACGAAAAUGCUUUGGAAAUUCUCUUAGAAAUGAAAAAGCAAGGUAUACCUUUCAACAAAGAAACCUAUCUACUUGCGUUUGCAAUAUGCUACAAAUUGGACAACCUGGAGUCUUGCAAAAUCUCUGCAAAGCUACUUGAAGAAGCACAGCUAAAAGGUGACACAUUACCACUGCGAGCAUUCUACUUUGCUGUGGCAUUUGCUCUGAAACAGAAUGAUGUGGCACAAGCCCAAUUCUAUCAUUCUCAGAUAAUGAAAACAGAAAACAAACUAUACAGUAAUAUUAGUGUUCUUGUCCAGCUCAAGACUGGUUCACUAGAAGAAGUGGUAAAGACAUUAGAGGCAGCUGUGGAAGUAGAUACUCCACCCUUUGUGAAAAAAAUUGAGUUUUCUGAGCAGGUGUUGUCUGGACAUCCUAACCAAUUCCAGCAGCACAUGUAGUGAGAACUGGGAUUGUCACCUGCCAAAGCACAGAUGCUGGUUACUGCAAGUACUGAUGCUCUAAAUAACAAAACUUCUCGUAUGCUGUCAGAUUUGGUUGCCCCAUCUAAAGAGAGAGCUGCUGUCUUCCCAACGUGACCUUCAGCAGUCAGCUAUUCUGUGGUCCCAAAAUGGUACAUUGCAGUGUAUUUAUUUCUUUUCCUCAGUUGUGCACACAUAUGGAAUCAGAUGCGAUUUUUUUCCCCCAUUGUGUUUUGCUCUAUUCUGUUCCUUUGCUACCAUUUGGCAAGAGGUGUAACACUUUGUGCUCAAUUUGCCAAUGAAAUUAUCAUGCAUGUUAUUAUACCAUUUUGCUUGCAUAAAUGCUCAGUCUUCCUGUUAGCUGCAAGGACUAAUUUGCACAUGUGGUUUUUGUCUUAUAAAUAUUCAAGGUCAGUCUUAUAAAUAGUGAAUCAGGUCAUUAGUGUGUGUUCUGAGCAAGACUGCUCAUUUAAUUAGGCUGGACAUUUGUUCAGCCAGCCUUGAAGCUGCAAGUUAUACUAAUACUGUGAUGUUUCUUUCUUUUUUUAAAAAAAAAUUCUUAAACUUGCACAUUCAGAUAGAAACCUAGUGAAAAUAGAGUCAUAGGGAAGAGGAAGUGAGGACUGCACCUUCAUGUCAGAGGAAAAAAAAAACAUCAGUGGAUAUCUACUUCAGCAGAGCUGCUUUUCCUAUCCAGGAUGCAGUAGUCACAAUUCUUAUGUGAAUUAGGACAAAUCACAGGAAUGCGGAUGGGUAGUAGCAAAUCAGCUGGUUCACAGGUACACUGAAAAUGUUUUCCAGUUGUUUCAAUACCUGUGAUAUCCUAUUAAAUGGCUUAAUAUGCUUCUGAUAAAUAUAUUCUUAAAAAAAGAAAACAUAUGAUGACUGUAAGGUUGAGUUUGAUUGAAUCAGAUUUAGUUUGCAAUGCAAUAGUUUAGGAAACUUUCCUGUAAAUGGCAUGAAUGACUGGCAUCUCUCUGCUUCUGAGCGUAAGUACAGAUAGAGCCUUUGUAUACUGCCGUGGUCAUAAUACAAAAUUAGCAUAAGAACUGAAAUAGUUCCUUAGGACUGCAUGAAAUAAUACAGCUGAGCUUUUUCCUGAGCUGCUAACCAGAAAGUCUGAGGGACUAAGAAAUUACAUUUAUAUAAUGCAAUUACUCCACUUACUUUAAAGACAUACUUAUGGUCAAAUUUUUGAUAUCUGCCUCCAUUUUGGAGAGCCUCUCUCUAGAAAUGUAGAGAACUUUCAGAUGCUAUUUCAUAUGGACUUUUUGUGCUGCUAUUUCAUGUGGACUUUCAGCUCUGAGAAUCAUGUACAAGGUAGGAUGUACCAGAAAUGAGGCACCUCAGACUGCAUGUCCUUUGUAAAAGCACUGCCUACAGCUUUUGCUGGCCCUUGUAUGGUAUUUCAGUGAAUUCUAGCUGUGAAUAGAAUUUAAUAGCUCCUGGCAGUCACAUGCCAGGUCUAAGUGAUGUUAACCAAGCUGUCUUACUUCUACAACCCUUCCUAGUGCCAAAAAUAGAGAGAGGAAUAUUCUGGGAAGUGACAUGGUUUUCCUACACUCCAGGCAAAUCUAAAGAUCAUGAAAACUUGAAAAUUUUUCAAUUCCAGCACAGUUAACCUUAGAAACAUCAUAGAACCCAAGGUGUUUGGAUGAUACAAUAAAACUGGCUUUGAUUUACAGUAUAACUUUUCCUAUUACAGCAUUGCAAUAGGCUAUAUUCAGAUAUGUGGAGCUCCUUGGAUUCUGUAGAAACACACAAUAAUAUAGAAGCCAGUACUCCACUGGUAUAAGUUAUCGUAUGUCACUUAGCUUCAGCUGAACUAGGGUUAUUUCUGCUAUGAGAGUACUUUCUCUGGAACACCAGAGGUAAUCCAUAUCAAACGAGACUUUAUAAAUGUGGUUAAAAGGGCAGCACAGAGAAUGCUGUUGUUUAAACAAUGAGCAGAAACAUAAUAAGCGAGAAUGCUUCCUGUUCCCCUAAAUGACCUUAAGGGAAAAAAUGAAGGUAUAAAACUGAAAAUGUCAGACAUAUUUUAAAAAAGAGCCCCCCCCCUUUUUUUUUUAGUAAUAGAGCCAGAUUCAGUCCAUAAGUGUAGAAAAACCCACAUCAGAUUUGCAAUUUAUGGCACACCUAUGUGUGCUACCUAUUUUGGUGGUACACACCAUGCACCUAUUUUGGCCUUGUCUAAUUUAAGUUUUGUUCACUGUAUGAAUUUUUGUAUGGUUUCUGUCUCAUCAUUGGCAAGGUUAUUUUGGUAUUCCCUGACCUGCCAGUAAACCAUUUGCCUUUUAUUGAUCUCGAUCCAUGCAGAUAUAUUUCUCUUUCUCUGGUAGUGCAGUAUUGCUGCUGGGUAGCUAAGCAUGCAGCUCAUACUCUGCAAGGCAAGGUAAGAAGAAAAGCAGAGACCUUUUCCUGUGUUAUAAACCUAUCUAUCUUUCUCCAUCCGAUCAAUACUACUGCAACGAUCUUUGCUGCUGCUGUUCUUUUACACUUAUGCAAUAAAGCAAGAAUCUGAAUUUACCAUUUCUACAGUGAACCAGUGACAAAAAUGUCUUACUAAAUCUGGACUCACCUCUGUCAUUUUGGUGAAGAUGGAGUGGGACCGCAAUUCUUUUCAGUGAUGGAUUAAAAUGUUUGAAAACUAUGAACUUGAAAGUAAGGUCAAAGAGCUUUCUGAGGAGAGAAAAUGUUCUACUUGCAUAGUGUAUUGGAACUGAAAACCAGCUGGUAUUUUGUGCACUUCCUCUCACUAAUGAUAAAUGUGAUACUGCACUCCUGGCAUUGGACACGUUUUUGUGUGCGUAAACUAUGUAUUGUAGCUGUAACCUAUAAAUUUCAGCAGCAUGGACAGAAACUGGGCAAAUAAACAAAACAGUAUUUUGCUGCUUCAUAGGACCAGGUAGUCAUGUGCACUUGGAAGCAAGGCAAAUGAAAUAAUGUGAGAUUGGCUCAAAGUAUUACAAAGCAUUUAUUGCUAGAAUCAGACCUGGUAUUACAGAUGACUGUUGGUUCUCAUCAUGCUGAAUAAGCAACUGCAGAAGACAAAUGAAAGUGGGAUAAAGCAAGAACUGUUCAAGCUUUACAAACAGAGCUGUAUCUGAAAUUCCAGUAUGGUGAAUAUAGAGCCACAAAUUCAAGCAAAUUCUAUGUACACAGGAGAAAUCUUCUAUAGCUGUAGAUCUAAAGCACAGAUGCCAGUUACGCUGGAUAUUCUACAAAAGAAAUUCUGCAAAUACUACAUAAAAAUUGAAUGUACCGAAUAAAAUAAAUCCCUUACACACUGUGGAUGUAAUGAUGUGUUCAGUUAAAGUUUCUGUUGUAUUAGAACAGCUGCAAGUUUGUCAUUGACUGCAGAGGCAUUAUAUUGCCUUAGAUCCAUCUACUUGCUAUGUUUUAGAUACUUUCAACAUAGUUUUACUCUAUGUUCAAUAUCUACAAGACUGAAUUUCUCUUCAGGAUUCCUUCUAAGGAAAUGACUUUUGAUUCAUACUGCAUACUUGCUGAAUUCUUUACUGUGCGUGCUGUCAUUCUUAUUUAGAACAAGUACCCGCUGGCUACACUGAAGUUGCAUGUUUAAAAGAUGUAUUAUUUCAACAUUGUCACCAUCUUUGCAAAAAUGAUUUUUGUUUCAGCUGUCAUACAGAUAAUAUUAAGGAAACAGCUUGUUCUGCAAAAUGCAUUGUUCGUAGAAUUAAAAUUUGUCUUAUCGUGAUAAUGGUACAGUAAAGAAAUAUACCCUCUGUAAUGACAGAACAUGAGAUGCUGACUCUCAAGAGCUUCAAAAACUCUAAUUCUAUCAAAGUGAUUGCAUCCUUGGAAUGGUUUCAAAGAAUAAUGGAAAUACAGAAUAAUGCUAAAUUUAUUUAUUUAUGGAGGUCAUGGCGACCUUCAUCCAUUCAAUUCUACACAUAAAAGAACAAUUAAAAGAACUUUGUCGUGAAAGAUAUUUCACUGCACUACUAACUCACAUCGUGUUUGGACAAAUAAUGCUAAAUCAGAAACAAAUACCUCACCGUAUUUAUUAACAAUGAUGGCCUUUUUAUUUUGAAUGUAUGUUAAAUGUUUUUACAUAUACAUUUACAUAUAUAUGUACAAAUGCAUUUACAUACACAGGAAGAGUGUUUGUAAAUAUAUGUAUAUCAUGAGCAAGGUGAAUACAUUUUGCCUUAAGAUGUCUGUGAGCCAUAGAGUGUUUUGAAUCUAUGUCACUUUGUACCAGGGCCCAUAUCUGUUUAUCCUAAGUCACAGCUCACCUAAAUGUACCCUAGUUAUUUCACACAUGUAAUUGCAGAGUACAAAAAUGACAUCAAAGUAGGAAGGAAUUGAGGGAGGAGUAAGGAACUUUAUCUCCUCUAAGAAAAGAGAAUUGUGUGGUAGUGCUGUAGUGGUGCUAAGCAGUGAAGGAUACUGCUCAGGCAAGGUAAAGUGAGAAGUGAGGCUCUUGUGUUUCACUGAGACUGACCUAUCUUUGUGCACAUGCUUCGUACCACUGUGUCAUAUGCAAGGACCACAUUUUAUUUCUAUUACUCCUUUUUCUCCUUAAAUAAAGUUUUUAAACCUUGUCCUCUUAAAGUCAUUCCUCUGGAGUAUGUUGUUGGAUGGAAUAUGUUUUCACUGAAAAUAAACAGCUAUGCAAAAUAAAUAGCUAUGCUUUUUCAAAUAAAACACAAAUAGGCAUGUUGACUGAGUUCUGCUUGCAUCCACAACAGAAAAUCAUAAAAUUCUUUGUUAUACCACAGAAUUUUUAAAAUAAACCUUGUUAU